GCUUUCGGGUCGUAAACCUCUGUCAUGAAGGAAGAACCUCUCAAGGCUGAACAAGCCUUGGGACUGACGGUACUUCCAGAGGAAGCACCGGCUAACUCCGUGCCAGCAGCCGCGGUAAUACGGAGGGUGCAAGCGUUAAUCGGAAUCACUGGGCGUAAAGCGCGCGUAGGCCGUCUUUUAAGUCGGACGUGAAAGCCCUCGGCUCAACCGGGGGACUGCGUUCGAUACUGGGAGACGUGAGUCCUGGAGAGGGUGGUGGAAUUCCGGGUGUAGGAGUGAAAUCCGUAGAUAUCCGGAGGAACACCGGUGGCGAAGGCGGCCACCUGGACAGGUACUGACGCUGAGGCGCGAAAGCGUGGGGAGCAAAC
rnacentral:rRNA from 1 species